ACUCCUACGGGAGGCAGCAGUGGGGAAUAUUGCACAAUGGGCGCAAGCCUGAUGCAGCCAUGCCGCGUGUGUGAAGAAGGCCUUCGGGUUGUAAAGCACUUUCAGUCGUGAGGAAGGUGGUAGUGUUAAUAGCACUAUCAUUUGACGUUAGCGACAGAAGAAGCACCGGCUAACUCCGUGCCAGCAGCCGCGGUAAUACGGAGGGUGCGAGCGUUAAUCGGAAUUACUGGGCGUAAAGCGUACGCAGGCGGUUUGUUAAGCGAGAUGUGAAAGCCCCGGGCUCAACCUGGGAACUGCAUUUCGAACUGGCAAACUAGAGUGUGAUAGAGGGUGGUAGAAUUUCAGGUGUAGCGGUGAAAUGCGUAGAGAUCUGAAGGAAUACCGAUGGCGAAGGCAGCCACCUGGUCAACACUGACGCUCAUGUACGAAAGCGAUGGGGAGCAAACAGGAUUAGAUACCCUGGUAGGUGACAAU
rnacentral:rRNA from 1 species